GGAUGUGAGGGUGAUCUGGCAGCGACAUCUGUCACCCCAUUGAUCACCAGGGUUGAUUCGGCUGAUCCGGCUGGCCGGGUGGGUGUUCUCUUCUUUCCUCAAUGCUCUAAGUGCGUCCCUCCCAAAGCUGCGCCUCGGUUGAAGAGGACGACCACUCCCGACCUAGGAGGACCGGUCCUCGGUCAAGGGUGUAUGAGUAGAUGCGCUCCCCUGCUAGAACCUCCAAACAAGCUCUCAAGGUCUAUUUUGCCAAACUUAAAAUUGAACUCGAGGUACUCUACUAUUAUGGAGCUAUAUCCCCAAUUCUAUUUUUUGGGGGGUGUGG
rnacentral:sRNA from 1 species